GCAUCCGUAGCUCAGCUGGAUAGAGUACUCGGCUACGAACCGAGCGGUCGGAGGUUCGAAUCCUCAAUUAACCGCAGGCACCA
rnacentral:tRNA from 1 species